UACGUAGGGUGCAAGCGUUGUCCGGAAUUAUUGGGCGUAAAGCGUGCGCAGGCGGUUUUGUAAGUCUGACGUGAAAUCCCCGGGCUUAACCUGGGAAUUGCGUUGGAGACUGCAAGGCUGGAGUCUGGCAGAGGGGGGUAGAAUUCCACGUGUAGCAGUGAAAUGCGUAGAGAUGUGGAGGAACACCGAUGGCGAAGGCAGCCCCCUGGGUCAAGACUGACGCUCAUGCACGAAAGCGUGGGGAGCAAACAGG
rnacentral:rRNA from 1 species